AAAGGGAGACCUAAUUCAGGUAGGAGACGAAAAAAAAGUAGUCGCUACCAAGAAUCAAUCCCAAAAGGUCGGAGCGAGGCGAAAUUGGCUUUCAAACUAGGUUCUGGGUUCACACAAGACCUGAAUCAGGAACAAGGGCUAUUAGCUCAGGUGGUUAGAGCGCACCCCUGAUAAGGGUGAGGUCCCUGGUUCGAGUCCAGGAUGGCCCACCUGUACAGGUGGCAAAAAGAAAGAAAAGAAGCGAGGAAUCAGCACCUUAUCUUACUUAUAUAGUAAGAGAGAAUGCUGGCUCUGAGUUCAGAGUCCAGAGGAACCUUGAAAACUGCAUAGAGCUAGGUGAAAAAGCCAAAAAAGAAGAUCGCAAG
rnacentral:tRNA from 1 species